UUGAGGAAGUAAAAGUCGUAACAAGGUCUCCGUAGGUGAACCUGCGGAGGGAUCAUUACACAAAUAUGAAGGCGGGCUGGAACCUCUCGGGGUUACAGCCUUGCUGAAUUAUUCACCCUUGUCUUUUGCGUACUUCUUGUUUCCUUGGUGGGUUCGCCCACCACUAGGACAAACAUAAACCUUUUGUAAUUGCAAUCAGCGUCAGUAACAAAUUAAUAAUUACAACUUUCAACAACGGAUCUCUUGGUUCUGGCAUCGAUGAAGAACGCAGCGAAAUGCGAUAAGUAGUGUGAAUUGCAGAAUUCAGUGAAUCAUCGAAUCUUUGAACGCACAUUGCGCCCUUUGGUAUUCCAAAGGGCAUGCCUGUUCGAGCGUCAUUUGUACCCUCAAGCUUUGCUUGGUGUUGGGCGUCUUGUCUCUAGCUUUGCUGGAGACUCGCCUUAAAGUAAUUGGCAGCCGGCCUACUGGUUUCGGAGCGCAGCACAAGUCGCACUCUCUAUCAGCAAAGGUCUAGCAUCCAUUAAGCCUUUUUUUCAACUUUUGACCUCGGAUCAGGUAGGGAUACCCGCUGAACUUAAGCAUAUCAAAGCCGGGAAGGAA
rnacentral:misc_RNA from 1 species